CGGCGAGGGGAGUGAAAAAGAACCUGAAACCGUGUACGUACAAGCAGUGGGAGCCUCUUUAUGGGGUGACUGCGUACCUUUUGUAUAAUGGGUCAGCGACUUAUAUUCUGUAGCAAGGUUAACCGAAUAGGGGAGCCGAAGGGAAACCGAGUCUUAACUGGGCGUUAAGUUGCAGGGUAUAGACCCGAAACCCGGUGAUCUAGCCAUGGGCAGGUUGAAGGUUGGGUAACACUAACUGGAGGACCGAACCGACUAAUGUUGAAAAAUUAGCGGAUGACUUGUGGCUGGGGGUGAAAGGCCAAUCAAACCGGGAGAUAGCUGGUUCUCCCCGAAAGCUAUUUAGGUAGCGCCUCGUGAAUUCAUCUCCGGGGGUAGAGCACUGUUUCGGCAAGGGGGUCAUCCCGACUUACCAACCCGAUGCAAACUGCGAAUACCGGAGAAUGUUAUCACGGGAGACACACGGCGGGUGCUAACGUCCGUCGUGAAGAGGGAAACAACCCAGACCGCCAGCUAAGGUCCCAAAGUCAUGGUUAAGUGGGAAACGAUGUGGGAAGGCCCAGACAGCCAGGAUGUUGGCUUAGAAGCAGCCAUCAUUUAAAGAAAGCGUAAUAGCUCACUGGUCGAGUCGGCCUGCGCGGAAGAUGUAACGGGGCUAAACCAUG
rnacentral:rRNA from 1 species